rnacentral:tRNA from 1 species
GCCCACGUGGUGGAAUUGGUAGACACGCCAUCUUGAGGGGGUGGUGGGCUAACGCCCGUGGAAGUUCGACUCUUCUCGUGGGCA